rnacentral:rRNA from 1 species
UACGUAGGGGGCUAGCGUUGUCCGGAAUCAUUGGGCGUAAAGCGCGCGUAGGCGGCCAGAUAAGUCCGGUGUGAAAACUCGAGGCUUAACCUCGAGACGUCGGUGGAAACCAUCCAGCUAGAGUCCGGAAGAGGAGAGUGGAAUUCCUGGUGUAGCGGUGAAAUGCGCAGAUAUCAGGAAGAACACCCGUGGCGAAAGCGGCUCUCUGGGACGGUACUGACGCUGAGACGCGAAAGCGUGGGGAGCGAACAGG